rnacentral:rRNA from 1 species
UCAGAGCUCCGGCGAAACUGGUGGGUAAUACGCGUAUACGCCCUACGGUGGGCAAAGAUUGUAUCGGUGAAUGGAUCGCGCCCGCGUUAGAUCUAGAUAGUUGGUGGCGGUAAUUGGCCUACCAGAGUUCUACGAUCUAUACGCUGGUCUGAGAAGGAUGAUCAGCCACACCUGGCGACUGAGACACGGCCCAGACUCCAUACGGGAGGCAGCAGUGGGCGAAUCUUGCACAAUGGGCGAAAGCCUGAUGGCAAGCCAUGCCGCGUGAUAUGAUUGAAUCGGCCUUAGGGUUGUAAUAAUUCGUUGUCAUCAGGCGACGAUAACUGACGGUACCUGAAUGAAGAUAGCCCCGGCUAACUUCGUCUGCUCAGCAGCCGCGGUAAUGACGAAGGCGGUGCUCAGCGUUGUAUCGGAAGUUAUCUGCGGUCGUAAAGCGCACGUAUGGCUGGACUUGUUGAAGGUCUGGCGGUGAAAGCCCGGAGCUCAACUCCGCGAACUGCCUUGAGAUACUGGAGAGUCUUCGAGGAUGGUAAUCGAGGUAAGUGGAAUACCGAGUGUACGAAGGUGAUAAUUCGUAGAUAUAUCGGUGGAACAACCAGUGGCCGAAGGCGACAUUACCUGGUCCAGUUUCUGACGGCUGUAAGGUGCGAAUAGUGUGGCGGAGCAAUAUCAGGAUUAGAUACCCUGCGUAAGUCCACAUACCGUAAUACGAUGAACGAGCUAGGUAUGUCGGCAGGUUGUACCUUGUCGGCUGACGCAGCUAACGCAUUAUAGCUCCUCCGCCUGCUGGCGGAGUACGGCCGCAAUGGAUUAAGAACUCAACCAGAAAUUGACGGCGCGGCCCGCACAAGCGGUGGAGCAUGCUGGUUGUAAUUCGAAGCAACGCGCAGAACCUUGACCCACGUUUGAACAUGCCUGGAUGUGAUCUAAGAGAUGUGAUCGUUCCCUUCGGGACCAGUGCACAGGUGCUGCAUUGGCUGUCGUCAGCUCGUGUCGUGAGAUGUUGGCGUUCAAGUCCUCGUCAACGGAGCGCAACCCUCACCCUUGAAGUUGCUAACAGGUCUUGUGCUGAGGAACUCUAAGUGGAACUGCCCGCGUGCGCAAGCGGGAGGAAUAGGUAGGGGAUGACGUCAUAGUCCUCAUUGGCCCUGUAUCGGGCGUGGAGCGCUACACACGCUGCUACAAUGGCAGUGACCAAUGCGGAUAAUCCUCAAAUAAGCUGUCUCACGUUCAGAUUAGGCGGUCUGCAAUCUCGACCCCAUGACUAUGUUGGAAUCGCUAGUCAAAUCGUGGAUCAGCAUGCCAACGGUGGAUACGUUGUCCGGGCCUUGUACACACCGCUCGCGUCAUCACUCAUGGCGCAGUAUGGCAAUUUACGCUCGCAAGGUUGGCCAUUCAUC